UACGAAGGGGGGCUAGCGUUGCUCGGAAUCACUGGGCGUAAAGCGCACGUAGGCGGAUUGCUAAGUCAGGGGGUGAAAUCCUGGAGCUCAACUCCAGAACUGCCUUUGAUACUGGCGAUCUUGAGUCCGGGAGAGGUGAGUGGAACUCCAGGUGGAGCGGUGAAAUGCGUAGAUAUCUGGAGGAACACCGGUGGCGAAAGCGGCUCACUGGACCAUAACUGACGCUGAGGUGCGAAAGCUAGGGUAGCAAACGGG
rnacentral:rRNA from 1 species